rnacentral:rRNA from 1 species
CCUACGGGGGGCAGCAGUGAGGAAUAUUGGUCAAUGGACGAAAGUCUGAACCAGCCAUGCCGCGUGAAGGAAGACGGCCCUAUGAGUUGUAAACUGCUUUUGUAAGAGGGUAAACGCAGACACGUGUACCUGUCUGAAAGUACUUUACGAAUAAGGAUCGGCUAACUCCGUGCCAGCAGCCGCGGUAAUACGGAGGAUUCAAGCGUUAUCCGGAUUUAUUGGGUUUAAAGGGUGCGUAGGUGGGCGGUUAAGUUAGUGGUGAAAUCUCGAGGCUCAACUUCGGAAUUGCCUCUGAUACUGUUCGGCUAGAGUGUAGUUGCGGUAGGCGGAAUGUAUGGUGUAGCGGUGAAAUGCUUAGAGAUCAUGCAGAACACCGAUUGCGAAGGCAGCUUACCAAGCUACUUCUGACGUUGAGGCACGAAAGUGUGGGGAGCAAACAGGAUUAGAUACCCGGGUAGUC